AUGUUUGCUUCAGCUCCACUGCUGCUGCUGGCUCUCGCCCCCUCUGUGUUCUGUGCUACUGAGCUCCUCCAGCCACACUCAGUGGUUAUAAAGCCAGGAGAGACUUUAACAAUCACCUGUAGAGUAUCUGGAGCUUCUAUCAUUGAUAGCAGCAGUCACUAUGGAACAGCUUGGAUUCGACAACCUGCAGGGAAAGGUCUGGAGUGGAUCAACAUUAUUUAUUAUAAUGGGGGUAUUAGUAAGAAAGAUUCACUUAAAGACAAGUUUGUCAUCUCUCGAGACACAUCCAGCAGCACAGUAACAUUAAUAGGGCAGAACCUGUAG